GAGACUCAGUGAAAUUGAACUCGCUGUGAAGAUGCAGUGUACCCGCGGCAAGACGGAAAGACCCCGUGAACCUUUACUAUAGCUUGACACUGAACAUUGAGCCUUGAUGUGUAGGAUAGGUGGGAGGCUUUGAAGCGUGGACGCCAGUCUGCGUGGAGCCGACCUUGAAAUACCACCCUUUAAUGUUUGAUGUUCUAACGUGGAUCCGUAAUCCGGGUUGCGGACAGUGUCUGGUGGGUAGUUUGACUGGGGCGGUCUCCUCCUAAAGAGUAACGGAGGAGCACGAAGGUUGGCUAAUCCUGGUCGGACAUCAGGAGGUUAGUGCAAUGGCAUAAGCCAGCUUGACUGCGAGCGUGACGGCGCGAGCAGGUGCGAAAGCAGGUCAUAGUGAUCCGGUGGUUCUGAAUGGAAGGGCCAUCGCUCAACGGAUAAAAGGUACUCCGGGGAUAACAGGCUGAUACCGCCCAAGAGUUCAUAUCGACGGCGGUGUUUGGCACCUCGAUGUCGGCUCAUCACAUCCUGGGGCUGAAGUAGGUCCCAAGGGUAUGGCUGUUCGCCAUUUAAAGUGGUACGCGAGCUGGGUUUAGAACGUCGUGAGACAGUUCGGUCCCUAUCUGCCGUGGGCGCUGGAGAACUGAGGGGGGCUGCUCCUAGUACGAGAGGACCGGAGUGGACGCAUCACUGGUGUUCGGGUUGUCAUGCCAAUGGCACUGCCCGGUAGCUAAAUGCGGAAGAGAUAAGUGCUGAAAGCAUCUAAGCACGAAACUUGCCCCGA
rnacentral:rRNA from 1 species